CCCCUGCAGGCUGUCAUGAGGGGGAGGGGAGCCCGGUCCUGCAGGUGUCCUGGGAUGACUCUAGGGCACAGAUUGGAGGCUAGAAGAGGAAGGGGGAUGCUGCCUCAGGUGGAGAGAAUGUCGCUUCCCCGGAGCUGAGCAAGUGGAGAUGUGGACGGGAAGGACCGGAUUAGGAGGGCUGGCCAUCCCUGCCCGCAGUGGCUCUCGAUGUCACACUGGUGUCCAAAAGGGAGAUCUUUGUGUCCUCGCCACACCUCUCCCCGAACCUAGAACCGUCCGCCCGGAUGCCCGACAGAAAAGCCUGGGACACAUUUCCCCAUAGCCCGCUGUGUCCAGUCUGUGACCGAGUCCUGCUGGCUGUUUCUGCCGAACGGGUCUCAGGUCCCCCCCAUCGCUCACCGGCCUGGCCCAGGCAGUCCUGGGUCCCCUCCUCACUGCUGUCGCUGCUCCCAUCCUGCCACCUGUUUUCCAUCCUCCACACGGCAACCACAGUAUCCUUUUAAAUCACGUCGGCGAGGCCACCUGGUCCUGUGUUCACGGUCUCCAAUGGCUUCCGGUCGCACUCAGAAUAGAGUCAGCAGCAUUACCUUGAACCACAGGCUUUUCCCCAUCUGGACCUCUUUGCCCAUGAUGCUGGAGUCCUACAGAUCUCUCAGCCUCUCAAGCCGGGCGGCCCUUCAUCUCUCUGACGGGCCCAUCUCGGAGGACGACCCCGGGAAACCCGGUGCCUUUCAACUGUACCGCCGGCCCCUUCAGCUCCUGGGAUUUCAAUGUCACCUGGAUGAAGGGCAGCGAUGAGCAUCCAGCCUCAGCCCAGCACCUGGUGACCAACAACCAAGGCAACUACUUCGUUACCAGUAAGGUGUGGGUGACCCUGACCCUCCAGGAUCUCUUACUGGAGAUCACUUGCGAAGUCACCCACAGGGCGCUGGGAGAGCCUCUGCAAAAGACCAUGAACCUCUUCCAAGUGCUCCAAGUUGUCCCCACCCUGAAGAUCACCACCAAGACCUCCGGGACGUACAUCCACGUGCAACAGAGAGUGAAUCUCACCUGCCACGCGAGCCACUUCUACCCCUCCCACCUACGUCUCCCCUGGAUGGAGAACAGACACCAGGUCCACACGGUGGAGUCCCCACAGGUCACGAGAAACCCAGAUAGUACCUACUCUCUGAAGCACACGUGGCAGGCGGAGGCCACGCUGGACGGGAGCAAGUUUGCUUGCUGGGUGGUCCAGGAUGAGCAGCCACCUGUCCGGGCCAACAUCACCCUGCAGGCCCAGGCACCCAGGCUGGGGAAAGGCCGGAGCACCUACUCCUACUCCUUGCAAGGCCCCCUUCAGCGAUCUGAGCCGGGGAAGAGCAUCCAGCUGACCUACGUGUCCUCCGGGUUCCCGUCGCGCCACAUUACCGUGACCUGGUUUAAAAAGAACCACAAGCUCCCAAAGACGCAGACCUACGUCCACCCCAGUGGGGACACACACAAUGUGACCAGCCGAGUGCUCGUCCUGCUGCAAGCGGACGAUGUGCUCUCCUUCGUCCAAUGCCACGUCAGUCAUAAAUCCACACCGGUCUUCCAGAAAGCCAUCAGCCUGGACCAGUACCUCCGUGUUCCCCCUACAGUGACAGUGUCCCAGUCUUCACCCUCCUCGGACUUGGUGGUUGUCACCUGCCGCGUGCAGAGAUUCUAUCCACAGAGUGUGCAUCUCACCUGGACGGAGAACUGCCAUACGAUCGAGGGAGCUGAGCAACUCCCAUCCAAGCAGAAUAGCGAUGGGACCUACGCCCUGGAAAGCUUGCGUUUGGUGAACGUGUCAGGGCCGGGGUCCGAGCAGGUGCUCACCUGUAAGGUGCAGCACGAGACCCAACCUCCCAUCCAGGCCAGCCUCAUACUGUCUGCGGAAGCACACGGCACAUACAAGCCCAUCGGAAGCUCAGGUCCCGAGAUGCCUGCCUCAUCUUUGUGGCAUUCCUUCUGGGCUUCAAGGUGCUGCUGGCGAUGAGUUUCAUAGUCACCUACAUCUGCACGUGGCGGAGCCGGUAACAGGCUGAAAUGUCAGAGAGAAGUGAUUGCCAUCCAGACCUGACGGUCCACAAGCAUAAAGCAUUUACUGUCCCGCCAUCUAAGACAAAGCUCGCCAACUCCUGAGAGACAAUAUUUAAAGACAAACAAUCCCAUUUUAUAAGUGCAUGAAAGAUUUGA